CAAAUGUAAAAUCCUGCUUUUACAUUUGAUUUGUCAUUGGUUGAGCUCAUGCUUCAAUUUUAACCAGUUUAACCAGGGACUUACUUCUCUUUUGUUUUUGUUGUAUGUGCUCAGGAAAUAACCCUCAGAAGAUUACCUGCACUAUAAGAAGAAGAUAAAGACUAGACUAAAGUAUGGGUAUGAGGACAGACCCACUGAUCACAGACCCAAGAAAAACUAUAGUUGUAAUAAUGGUAAAAGUCUUACCUCUCAAAUGGUCUUUGGUACACAUGACUUCUUCUAGCUCUUAGAAUUAAAAUAUAAAUGAUUAGAGCAAAGGUUUAUGGACUAUCCUUGUUACAUCAGCUAUCCAUAUUUUGUUUUAUUUCAGAUGAUGAUCUUAGAUAUCAAAACUCUCCUCAUUUACAAGUCCAAGAGACAGGUGGACAAUCCUUCCUACCUGGUUCAAGUGACAAGAAGCACACUGUGAAUGAACAUCUGUCUGCACUGAUGCAGAAUGCAACAAUCACAACGGAUAGAGAGAGGCUUUGGUAUGUGCUGGGAAGGUUGAAACAGGAAGAAUUCAAAGAAUUCAAGUGGUUCCUGCAGGACAGGGACAUCCUGGCAGGCCUCCCAUGCAUCCAAAGCUGUCGGCUGGAGAAGGGAGAACUGUUAGACCUGGUGGAUCUGAUCUGGCAGACCUACAGCGAACACUCGGUGGAGGUGACCAAGAAGGUUUUCAAGAAAAUAAACAGGAAUGAUCUGGUGCAGAUGUUGUCAGGAUCCAAAGCUUCAGGAUCAUCAGCUUGAGCAACCAGUGUGAACACCACAGAGGGAG
rnacentral:lncRNA from 15 species